UACGUAGGGAGCAAGCGUUGUCCGGAAUCAUUGGGCGUAAAGCGCGCGUAGGCGGCUUCGUAAGUCCGUUGUGAAAGUCAAAGGCUCAACCUUUGAAAGCCGAUGGAUACUGUGAAGCUAGAGUACGGAAGAGGCGAGUGGAAUUCCUGGUGUAGCGGUGGAAUGCGCAGAUAUCAGGAGGAACACCGCUAGCGAAGGCAGCUCGCUGGGACGUUACUGACACUGAGGCGCGAAAGCGUGGGGAGCGAACAGG
rnacentral:rRNA from 1 species